UAUUUCUGGUCAAAAUAUUAAAAAAAAAAGCUGGUCGAAGAGAAAAAGAAAGCUACCGUGAGGCGGCAACUCAAGCUCAUUAAUUUAACUUACCCAAAAAGGAAACCAAGUGGGGAUGGGAAAUUCAGGCCAAACAAUACCGAGAUAGAGGGACCGGAAAACAGGAUGUGCGGCCAGGUACGAGGAGGCAACCAGAAAAAAAAACCACCAAGAAAAAGUAGCACGGAAGCGGAUUUUCAUUCAAGUUGCCAGCCAGGAGGAGGAAAGGAGGACGCUUUCUCCAUCUCGGCCCACAAUUUCUCCUUGGUAAUGAUUCAGCAUUAAAUUUCGGGUGACUGAAGAAAGGCAAGAAACAACAAAAUCAGCAGCGACAGCAACAGCAACAAAGAAAAUCAGUAAAAUGAAACGAUGUCGACGUCAAAGCAAAUGAAACUGAAGAUGAGACCAGAGCAAAAUUUCGGACGAACAUCAUUAGAAAGUUACUGGAAUUCGGUUGUAGCCGGAUGGUUGGGGUUUGGUGCUGGUGUUUGGCUAUAUCCAUCCGACCUUGCUAAUUGUAUGACAACGGGGGGUGGGAUUCGCCCACCUGGCCAUUGAAAUCAUUGCUCCGUUCAAGUAGCUGAGCGCACAAAACUAAGCUGCCAAUUCAAUUUCGUAAUCAGAGUGGCAUGAAAAAUUAAAUAAAACAUGCAAAUAAAAUUAUUACGCAUAAUUUGUGUGCACAGGGUGAGAUGAAGGGCUCCCGUUAGGCAAUACCAUUUUCCCGCGAGUUUUUCCGGUGCGGAGUGCCUGAUUUUAUUUCUGCUGGGAUUUUGGGUGACUGAUUCCCUUUGCAACUCAAUUUAUUUUUCUGCUUGACAAUUUAUCUUCAAAUUUAGCUCAAGAACUUUAUAUUCAUACAUUAUUAGUCUAUCCCAUUUUUAAAUACUAUUGAAAUUUAGUUAAUCAUGGUAAUUACCUUUACCUUUAGGUGUUUAUUUUAACACUUUUUAGUUAAAAAAAAAUAUAAGAUUUUCUAAGUAAAAGUUAAAAGUAUUUAAUUGCUUAUAACGAUUACUUUAAAAUAAUGACUUAUAUCUUGUUUUGCAUGAUUAAAAUAUGCCUUAAAGUAUUUCAAUUAAAUAUUGUUUUCAAAUUAUACUAGUUUUGCUUUUUAAAAGCUUACCUUCAUUACUCGAAGCACAUUUGUAGCUGUCCGAAAAAGGCAAGAGUUAAUAAAGUCCUUAAUUAAGUUGCUGUUAUGUAAGUAGUACACCGCUGUAUUUUUAUAUGCUAGAGCGAGUGCGAUGCUUGUGUGGUGAGGCCUCGGUUGUUGAGGUCAAAACUAUUAGCAAUGUGCCGGGAAAUUAAGCAAAAGUUUGGGGAGUAAUGAGUUCGUAACAGCGCAGAUUUAACUGGAUGUAUGAGUGGGGGGGGCGCUUAUCUAAUAUGUGCAUCUGAAAAUGAGAUUGGAAGCAGGGCAUAAACCUUGGGUAUCACAAAACACUCUGCCCUUGUUAACCUUUUUUUUUUUGGUCUAUAUUCCCUGUAUUCCAUUCAUUCGCCUCGUUAAUCGAGCGUUUUAUCUCUCCCAGAGAUUUGUAAAUUUGUGAAGCAUUUUUUAAUGUGCUUAAUUUUAUUUGGGAUCCAGCCACUCCAGCUUCGGUGUUCCACUGUUUCGGUUUGAACAUGUGUUGCUGGCUAAACUUUUUCAUUGUUACCCCGUACAUCACACAAGCGGCUUUAUUGGUCAGCAGGGGUUAAAGUAGCCGAGUUAGUUUUGUCAGCCUUGGCAUUAAACCCAUGCUGUCCAUCGUUCGCCUCAUUUCCAUCUGCCAGAGUUGCCGCGCCGCGGGUUAUUUGUUGGGUUCAAAGUUCGGGUCUAGUCUGGUCGCCCUGGGAUCGGGGACAGAGAUUGGGAUUGGGAUUGUGGGUCUGAAUCCGAGUCCGGGUCUGUGGGUCUCCUGUUGGGCCCUACCACCCCUACUUUCAGCCUUUUCAACAAUUUUUCGCUUAUUUUGUGCUCUAAUGGGGCAUAAGUGUGAUUUAGCAAGUGUUUAAUGAGCUUUCCACUUUUUCCCCUAGUCGUUUGAAUUAUUUUAUACCCACGGCUUUCUAAUAAAACUUAUUUUAAGGUGUGACAAGAGAAGCGACAGAAAUAUUCAUGUACUCUUGUGGCAAAUUGGGGUUAUUUAUGGUACUGAGCGACAAUAAAGGAUAUGCAGUUAUGUUAUUACUAUAUAUACAUAAACAAAGUAUAUUGAGCCAACGCAAAUGCAAAUUUAUAUGCUCUGAGCCAUUCAAUAUGCAUGAAUUAUUUUUAUUAUUACAUAUUUUGAUUAAAUUUCCCCACUUGCUUUAAUUUCAAUUAAAGUUGGAACUAAAACACAUAAUGCCCAAAAAAACAUUCAAGUACUAUUGUAUGAAAAUUGCGCUUUCCAUCGUUUUUCGGUCAUCUCCUCGAGCAAACCUUUUGCGAACAAACUGAGCCACGACCCACUUGGUCGUAUUCGUAUCUACUUGGCCAAAAGUGAUGCAGCGUUUUCAGAGGGCCAAAAGCAGCCCGCAACCUAUCACAACAUUUGCUGGAGUAUGUAACUCGACUCGAACCCAGACGCGACUUGGAAUCGGGAAUUGGCCUGUUACCAGAACAGCCGUUGUAGGUCAGAGGAAAAAGUGCUUCUAAGAUAGUAGGCGUUCGUCAAAGGGAGCACAAAUAAUAAUAAUAAUAAAGUUAAUAAUUGUUAUUGAUUUUAUAUUUAACAUUUCAGACAAUAUAUAAUGGUGUGACGUCACAAUUAUUACAAGAUUAAUUUAAUUACAAGGCUUAAUUUACACGUUUAUUUAUAUAUUUAUUUAUACAAAAAUUAAGAGAACACAAUUUAAGAGUACAAAGAGAAAAUCACAUUUUAAAAACUUGCAGAGCUUUUAAGGCACAUUCGAAUUCGCACAAAAAUGUCCCACAUGGCUGGGAAAUUGUCCCAACAGAGGAAAAUACUGGUAAAUGUUACCAUGUGCAUAAUGUUAAGUCUGAUAUCUAAAGGAAUUUAUAAAUUGGCAUCUUAACAUUUGAUUGCAUUAAGAGCAAAUGUAUUAAUAUAAAU
ensembl:ncRNA lncRNA:CR44602 long non-coding RNA:CR44602